CAUCAGAUGACUGAAAGCAAGUAAUGGUCUCUUAAACCAGAUAAUGGUAUUAUAGCAGAUACCUCUGAUGA
rnacentral:tRNA from 1 species